rnacentral:rRNA from 1 species
UACGGAGGGCGCGAGCGUUAAUCGGAAUUACUGGGCGUAAAGCGCGCGUAGGCUGUUGUGUAAGUUGGGGGUGAAAUCCCACGGCUCAACCGUGGAACAGCCCUUGAUACUGCGCGACUUGAAUCCGGGAGAGGGUGGCGGAAUUCCAGGUGAAGGAGUGAAAUCCGUAGAUAUCUGGAGGAACAUCAGUGGCGAAGGCGGCCACCUGGACCGGUAUUGACGCUGAGGCGCGAAAGCGUGGGGAGCAAACAGG